rnacentral:lncRNA from 1 species
AAUGUAAAAUGUACUAUCUUCACUGAGGCUGCUUUGCAAUUUAAAAAUAUGAAAGUUAGAAGUUGCCUGGCCUUUGCUUCACCUCCAACCUCUCUACAAAAGUAUGACAGUGACUCUGAUUGUCAUUGUGAAACUGCCAGUGUUAGAGAGGCAUGGUUGGAGGAGGACCUCAUCAACCUCCAAGCUCUGCUUCAUUCUUUUCCAUGAUUGUUUCUCCUCUGAGAUGAGAAACAGCAUUACAAGAGUCUCUUGUGUUCAUGAGAUCAGAAAUUUCUGAGAGUUUUGUUUUCCAUUUAAAUUGUAGUUUAAAUUUGUAGGGAAACCAGAAAUGGCCAAGUUUUCCAUUUAAGAGAUCCCAGCAAAGUUUGUGACCCAGGGCAAUCUCUAAACACAAACUCCCAAAUUAGUUUUUCUUGUAACUUUGGCCUUUAGGCAGGUACCAACUAUAAAAAGCAGUGACCAUGAUGGGUCUGCCUGGGAACAUGCUUUCAAAGAUUUCCAGGCCUUCAUCUUGCCAUGACUGUUGGAAGACUUUUGGCUUCACUCUGAAAGCCAUAAAACCAUAAAGCAGAUCUGAGAAAAACCCACAGCUGCAUACAUCUGAUGACAGUCAAACUGAUUUUCCAAAGAUAAGGAGUUCAGCAAAACCCAAACUCCAUGAUGGCAACAAUGCUGGACCUUUACUCCCCCA